UACGUAGGGUGCGAGCGUUGUCCGGAAUUAUUGGGCGUAAAGAGCUUGUAGGCGGUUUGUCGCGUCUGCUGUGAAAAUCCGGGGCUCAACCCCGGACUUGCAGUGGGUACGGGCAGACUAGAGUGUGGUAGGGGAGACUGGAAUUCCUGGUGUAGCGGUGAAAUGCGCAGAUAUCUGGAGGAACACCGGUGGCGAAGGCGGGUCUCUGGGCCGAUACUGACGCUGAGGAGCGAAAGCGUGGGGAGCGAACAGG
rnacentral:rRNA from 1 species